rnacentral:tRNA from 1 species
UUAGUAGAAGCCAAAAUUAGAGGCAUUUCAUUGUUAAUGAAAAUAAUGGAUAAUAUGUCCCUACUAAA